UACGUAGGGGGCAAGCGUUGUCCGGAUUUAUUGGGCGUAAAGAGCGUGUAGGCGGCCAUGUAGGUCCGUUGUGAAAACUCGAGGCUUAACCUCGAGAUGUCGGCGGAAACCAUCUGGCUAGAGUCCGGAAGAGGAGAGUGGAAUUCCUGGUGUAGCGGUGAAAUGCGCAGAUAUCAGGAAGAACACCCGUGGCGAAGGCGGCUCUCUGGGACGGUACUGACGCUGAGACGCGAAAGCGUGGGGAGCGAACAGG
rnacentral:rRNA from 1 species